rnacentral:rRNA from 1 species
AACGAACGCUGGCGGCAGGCCUAACACAUGCAAGUCGAGCGAAGCCUUCGGGCUUAGCGGCGGACGGGUGAGUAACGCGUGGGAACGUGCCCUUUGGUACGGAAUAGCCCCGGGAAACUGGGAGUAAUACCGUAUGUGCCCUUCGGGGGAAAGAUUUAUCGCCAAAGGAUCGGCCCGCGUUGGAUUAGGUAGUUGGUGGGGUAAUGGCCUACCAAGCCGACGAUCCAUAGCUGGUUUGAGAGGAUGAUCAGCCACACUGGGACUGAGACACGGCCCAGACUCCUACGGGAGGCAGCAGAGGGGAAUCUUAGACAAUGGGGGAAACCCUGAUCUAGCCAUGCCGCGUGAUCGAUGAAGGCCUUAGGGUUGUAAAGAUCUUUCAGUGGGGAAGAUAAUGACUGUACCCACAGAAGAAGCCCCGGCUAACUCCGUGCCAGCAGCCGCGGUAA